rnacentral:rRNA from 1 species
UACGAGAGGUGCAAGCGUUAUUCGGAAUCAUUGGGCGUAAAGGGUGCGUAGACGGCAUUAUAAGUCUGUUGUUAAAAUUCUUGGCCUAACUGAGAGUCUGCAAUGGAUACUGUUUUGCUAGAGGGUGAGAGAGAGAAGUGGAAUUCUCGGAGUAGCGGUCAAAUGCGUAGAUCUCGAGAGGAACACCGAUGGCGAAGGCAGCUUCUUGGCUCAUUUCUGACGUUGAUGCACGAAAGCGUGGGGAGCAAACAGG